rnacentral:misc_RNA from 1 species
AAGUCGUAACAAGGUUUCCGUAGGUGAACCUGCGGAAGGAUCAUUACUGAGUGGCGUGGUGGAUCGGUCCCAGAGAUGGGGUUGAUCUGUCCAGGUUACCCGACCUUUUGUCAUUUGCUGGUUGGCUGUGUGGGGGUGAAGUUCCGGAUGAGGCUUAGUCUGAUGUCUUAAAGGAUUCGACGACAUGCCUCGGAGGGAAAAAUUCGUCUUGUGCACACCGACACCAUAUUUCGGCGGAAGAGGUAGUCAUCGAGCUGCCCGCCGCCGGUGGUAUUUUUCCAACUCUUUUCUUUGAGAAUAUUGAAGCAGUCUGAAGAAAAAACCCAUAAUGAAAAGCAAAACUUUCAACAACGGAUCUCUUGGCUCUG